GCAAGCCGAGCGGUAGAGAUUCUUCGGGAUCUUGAGAGCGGCGUACGGGUGCGGAACACGUGUGCAACCUGCCUUUAUCUGGGGGAUAGCCUUUCGAAAGGAAGAUUAAUACCCCAUAAUAUACUGGAUGGCAUCAUUCGGUAUUGAAAACUCCGGUGGAUAGAGAUGGGCACGCGCAAGAUUAGAUAGUUGGUGAGGUAACGGCUCACCAAGUCUGCGAUCUUUAGGGGGCCUGAGAGGGUGAUCCCCCACACUGGUACUGAGACACGGACCAGACUCCUACGGGAGGCAGCAGUGAGGAAUAUUGGACAAUGGGUGAGAGCCUGAUCCAGCCAUCCCGCGUGAAGGACGACGGCCCUAUGGGUUGUAAACUUCUUUUGUAUAGGGAUAAACCUACUCUCGUGAGAGUAGCUGAAGGUACUAUACGAAUAAGCACCGGCUAACUCCGUGCCAGCAGCCGCGGUAAUACGGAGGGUGCAAGCGUUAUCCGGAUUUAUUGGGUUUAAAGGGUCCGUAGGCGGAUCUGUAAGUCAGUGGUGAAAUCUCACAGCUUAACUGUGAAACUGCCAUUGAUACUGCAGGUCUUGAGUGUUGUUGAAGUAGCUGGAAUAAGUAGUGUAGCGGUGAAAUGCAUAGAUAUUACUUAGAACACCAAUUGCGAAGGCAGGUUACUAAGCAACAACUGACGCUGAUGGACGAAAGCGUGGGGAGCGAACAGGAUUAGAUACCCUGGUAGUCCACGCCGUAAACGAUGCUAACUCGUUUUUGGGUUUUCGGAUUCAGAGACUAAGCGAAAGUGAUAAGUUAGCCACCUNGGGGAGUACGUUCGCAAGAAUGAAACUCAAAGGAAUUGACNGGGGGCCCGCACAAGCGGUGGAUUAUGUGGUUUAAUUCGAUGAUACGCGAGGAACCUUACCAAGGCUUAAAUGGGAAAUGACAGGUUUAGAAAUAGACUUUUCUUCGGACANUUUUUCAAGGUGCUGCAUGGUUGUCGUCAGCUCGUGCCGUGAGGUGUUAGGUUAAGUCCUGCAACGAGCGCAACCCCUGUCACUAGUUGCCAUCAUUAAGUUGGGGACUCUAGUGAGACUGCCUACGCAAGUAGAGAGGAAGGUGGGGAUGACGUCAAAUCAUCACGGCCCUUACGCCUUGGGCCACACACGUAAUACAAUGGCCGGUACAGAGGGCAGCUACACAGCGAUGUGAUGCAAAUCUCGAAAGCCGGUCUCAGUUCGGAUUGGAGUCUGCAACUCGACUCUAUGAAGCUGGAAUCGCUAGUAAUCGCGCAUCAGCCAUGGCGCGGUGAAUACGUUCCCGGGCCUUGUACACACCGCCCGUCAAGCCAUGGAAGUCUGGGGUACCUGAAGUCGGUGACCGUAACAGAGCUGCCU
rnacentral:rRNA from 1 species